rnacentral:SRP_RNA from 1 species
GCCAGGCAUGGUGGCACAUGUCUGUAAUCCCAGCUACUCUGGAGGCUGAGGCAGGAGAAUCGCUUGAACCUGGGAGGCGGAGGUUGCAGUGAGCCGAGAUCAUAAUACUGCACUCCAGCCUGGGUGACAGCGAGACUCCAUCUUAAAAAAAAAAAAAAAGAAAUGGAGUCUUGCUCUGUCACCCAGGCUGGAGUGCAGUGGUGUAAUCUCGGCUCACUGCAGUCUCUGCCUCCUGGGUUCGAGUGAUUCUCCUGCCUCAG